UUAAACCUUUUGUGUAUGUGUUGUUAAUUCCUGUAUGCUUUUUAAUUAAAUGUCAACUUCUAGUCUAGAUCCGAAAAUUAUGUAAGGAUUUGUUUCAAAUGGCUCAGAAAAUUUUGAGCAUUCGAAUGUGGAUUGAUAAGCUCAAUUAAAGGGAAACGGUAGGCAGAGAAAAUUGCCACAUAAAAUGCACUAACAAAACGUGAAAGGGAAUAAUGGGCCACAAACAAUGAGAUAAUGCACAAAAGGAUUAUCACUAUGUGUCUUAAGAUAAGUAUUUGAGGGCUUUACGCAAAUAAAUGAGCCAAGGUAUGGCUCACUUGUUCUAAAAGUUGCCUAUGAUUAUGUUGAAAGAUAACGUUGCCUUGCAUAAUACUUGGGUGGGUGGUUCCCCUACUAGUUCCUAGAAGCAGAUGUGCUAGCAUGCAAGAUAAGGGUGAUGCAAUUAACCACUUUUUUUGGUGCUACCUUUAAGGCUAUUCAAAUCCCACUGUUCCUACCUAUAAAUGCAAAAGCAAUGGACCAGCCAAGAGUGUUUUUGAAGGUCAAUGGGCCAGACCGCUAUGUGUAGACCGGAGUACAAGAGGUCCAAGAUCUGGACCGGACAUCUAAGAGCCAUCAUAAGCUUAUAUGUAUACUUGCUCGAUUUUCUGAUUCGAAGGACAAGAGCAUGACGUCAUUCUAGAUGAAAUAUCUUCAUGUCUCGAUCUUAUUAUCUUUAUACCUACCAUACACUUGUCUUAUAUAAAUUUUGAUUUCGGCGUACAAGCCCUUUUCAAGUACCCACC
rnacentral:lncRNA from 1 species